rnacentral:siRNA from 1 species
AGCGGAUAGCUUGGCGCGAAAAGU